GUCCCCUUAUUUCUCAAAAUCGGUCGGUCACUCACUCCUCGUCUCCGCAGCAAAAUCCAUUUCAUCUCAAAAACCUAAUCUCUUCUUCUACUUCUGCCAUUAAUACUGUUAAGAUCAUUUGUUCUACAGUAGGGGGUUUGAAAUGGGUAACUUUAAUAUGCUUCCGGGAGAUAUCAUCUUCAACAUCUUCACACGUUUACCAACAGAAUCAGUUUUAGACUGCAAGUUGGUCUCAAAAUCUUGGAGUAGAGUUAUUAAUCAUCAAUCGUUUUCUCAAUCUCACUUAAAUCACUGCCUUAACAGUCUUGAUUCUGCUGGUAAGUUUACUUUUCUUUUUCUGAAUGACAAUCCAAUCUAUGCAUACAGACAGUUUCAUUAUUUGGAAUUUUAUGAUGAGAAUUCUUCUUCAGAGGAACAACCCUGCCAUAGAGUUACAAGAAUGAAACUAAACCCUGCUCCCUUUAUGUAUUAUGAUUUUGCUGGUUCCUGUAAUGGUUUAGUUUGUCUAAAUGGAUGCCAUGAUAAUGAGAGGGUGAAUUAUGAACCAGUUUAUAUCUGUAAUCCCAUCACCAGAGAAUGUGUGUUUCUCCCGGAAUUUGAGAGAACAGAUGAUCGUGGUCAACAGUUGGAGACUGGAUUCGGUUACGUUUCUUCGACUAAUGAGUACAAGAUUGUUAGAAUGUACAGCUUGUUGAAAGAACCCACUUUUGUACAUGUUGAGAUGUACACACUUAGCAGUGGCAAGGGAUGGAGAAACACAGGGGAGAAAUUCGACAAAGGCCUGGAUUUGUUUAUUUAAUACCCACGGUUUGCUUCUGAAUGAAUCUCUUUAUUGGGAGUUUAAAACUGGUGAAGUUGUGGCUUUUGAUUUGGCUAAUGAAACUUUUGCCAAUAUACCUACUGCUUUUCCCGCUGAUUGGCAUUUUAAACUUGGGGUUUUGGGGGGUUAUUUGUCGGCUACCCACUAUGAUAAAGAUUCAAAUACUUCUGAUAUAUUUCUAUUGAAGAAGGAGGAGGAGGAUGGGUCAUUGAGUUGGAUUAAAGAACUCAGUUUAAGCAACACGAAUGCAUAUGAAUCUCUUGCCCUCAUGAGUAGGGGUACAGUUUUAUGUCGCUCCAAGACGAAGGUUCAAAGAUAUGACCUAAAUUCUUCAUCUUCAAAACUGCUUGUGGAUUUUGGCAGGGAUAAGUGUAUAUUUCAAGCAAUCCCACAUAUGAACACCUUGGUUUCAUUAAAAGCAUUAGGAGAAGAAAAUACAAAAACAAUGGAAAUGGUUGACGUACCAAGAGAGGUAGCAUUUCAAAAUAGGGGUGAUGUGUUGUAUCAAGGGUGUAGGCUGCAGUAGGAAGGAAUGUAUCUGCCCGUGACUACAUUUAAUAUGGCAAUAUUCCUUUUGAAUUUGGGCCUUACACGUAAAGUACUAUUUCAUGUUUAUCUUCUUUAUUUUUGAGUUUGCAAAUUGGAGUUUAGCUAUCUUCUUUGGCUAUUUGUGCUUCAUUUUCUAUCACUGUCUUUAACGUGAUGCAUAUAUUAUAUUUACUUUUGUGUUUGGUGAGUUUUACAGGAGAGUGAGGUUACAACUUAGAGGCACAUACAGUAUAUCGGCAGUUAGACACUUUAUUCACUAGCAAAUAAGUGCGUAUAUAAAUAGUUGGUACACCCACUUCACGCCUGCUUUUAUGGAACUGUACAUCUGCGAACUCUGUACUUAGGUUCUCUGUUAUUGCUAUUACAUGUGAAUUCUUGUUAUUAGUUGUACUGAUAUAUGCUUACGAACUCAGUGCUUUGGUUAAUGACUUGCAUUCAUCCAGCAUUCUAGAUUGGGUUUCAAAUAUUGUUAGAGUACAUCUUGAGCAUCUCUCUUGAUAGCUACUUCUCUCUGUAUGUUUUAAGUUUUCUCUUCUCUUUCACACUCAAAGCACUUGGGAUAAUUUGCUUCAUCAGAAUGGUUGCAUCUGGUUCUGCACUUUUAGCUGGAAUCAAUUAGCGUAAUACCAGCCUCCUCAAUAUCUAAAUGAUUCAACACAUUGAAUUUUGGUGCAGUUGUUAAGAUAGUUACCAAUUCUUUAUAAACUAGUUUCCUCAGACAUGUUUCAUUUUAUGAUAUAUACAGUAUUUGUCUGGAUCCCGCCCAAGCAGAUUUGAUUUAUUUAAUGGUAGUUGGUAGAUUAAGGUUACAAGUUAGAGGAAUACAUCAUUAUAUGACCCAACUCGCCCAGUCUGACAGUGUGCCACAACCAUUUUGCAUGGUUGAAUAUAAAGAUAUUGAUAUAUAAACUAGAAUGGGUCAGUCCCUGUACCAACCAGCAAGAAUUAUGCUUUUACACUGUAUUAACUGCAAUUGAGCUAAUUGUCUGUUUUUUCUAUGCUACACUUCAUUUCCUUCCACAAGACAAGGCUCAAUUCUAGCUAGGCUCCUUGCACCAUACUACUGGGAAUAAGAACAAAUAAUAUUUCUGUUAGCAGCAAGGACUUAGGCUUCUUUGACUGAGAGGAUGAGUGCAUGUAUAAAUUGUUGAUGUACUCGCUUUGCGCCUGCCUGUACGGAACUGAUGUCUGCCUGCCUGUACGGAACCGAUGUCUGCAAACCGUGUACUUAGGUUCUCUAAUAUUGCUAAUACAGACAUACAGUAGAAUUCUUGUUAUUAGUCGUACUUGUAUAUGCGCUUUUGUUAAAGACUUGGAUUCACCUAACAUUUUAGAUUGAAUUCCAAAUAUUGUUGUACAUCUUGAGCAUCUCUCUUUAAAGCUACUUCUUUCCAUCUGUUUUUAGUUUUCUCUUUACUUUCACGGCCAAAGCACUUGUAAUAUUUUUCUUCUUCAGAAUGUUUGCAUCUGGUUCCUUACCGUUACCAGCAACCAAUUAGUGCAAUACCAGCCUCCUCAGUAUCCGUAGGAUUCAACACAUUGAACUUUGGUUUAGUUGUUAGCAUAGUCAUCUAUUCCUUCUACAUUUGUUUCCUCAUCAUUUUAGGAUAGAUAUAGUGUCUGUCUGGAUCCCACCCAAGCAGAUUUAGAUUUGGGCAUGGUACUACUUCCAUUUGUUGCAGGAGAUUCCACCCCAUUGUAUGCUCCCUGAAGGAAGUUAAUUGCUAUACUGUAUCUGGUUCUGCAUCCUUGAAAGUUACCUGCAGUUAGAUUAUUCAGUUCCGCGUCUCUGUAUGAUGUGGACAUAUUUUCUGGAUCUUACCCAAGCAGUUAUUGCUGAAAAAUUUGGUAAAGGCCAACUCUGGUUUUAGUCACACACAGUACUGUAUGUGGCUUAAGGUCGAGUCAGAAUUACAACUGCAACUGACUUCUUGUUACUCCCUGAUUCUGGAGCAAGUUUAAAUCUCUCCCAAUUGUGAGACUCAGACGACUACUUAUGAUGCUUUGGGAGUAAAUCUGCAGAUUAAUCUCAGCCCUGGGCAUCUUAUCAAUGGAAGAUUAUUUUUGCUUCGGGUGCCAUGGAUGAGCUAACAAAAGGCUUACAAAAGACCUUAGUGAUGUUCGAGGUUGUAACAUUUGAUGCUGGGGAAGCAGAAAUACGAUGCUGCCACACAGUUUGUUGAGGGAGAAGGCGUAAAAAAGCUUCCUAUGAUGCUGAUGAUGUUUAGGAUCAUCAGUUCACUUAUGAAGUCAUGAGUGAAUCUGAAAAGGACAAAAAGAGAGGCAUGGGUCAAAACAUAUGGAGAAUGGACUGAUAAUGGAUCACUGCCCAAUUAUCUAUUUGCUUACCUGAAGACAUGUUCAAUCCAUGGGUAUGUUUCCGUGUUGCUAGAGUUUUUCUGUUGAACUAUCUAGUUUCUUAUGCAUGUUGGUGAUGAUCAUUAAAGCAACCAUACAACUUGUUUAGUUAAUAUCUAGUUUCUAGGCAGCAACUUAAACAGACAGAACCAUGUGUUUCACGAUUAAACAUCUUCUUCUUGAACAUAUUAAUCAUAAGAAAACCAAACGACUUGAGUCAGGCUUAAUUGAUUCCUACCUAAUCUGGCGGCUUGGAAAUUAUUAUACAGACACACACAAUCUAUAUUGCGGGAGCCAAAAUCUGAGCUCUUUAUAAGAUUGAAUAGAUUUCUUAAGAUAAAAAGAGCAACCGCCAAACACAUCUGUUAUUUGCUUUACUCUUUUCUUUAAAUUCCUUCACAAGAUUGUAUAGAGUCUAUCUCAGAUUAAGUGAGUAACUGUGUCGUGGUUUAAAGGUCCCGAGUUGUAUAUUUAUCACUAUGGAUGUGAGAUCCGUUUAUGGAGGCUUGAAAAUAACUGCAGUAGUCCUGCUGGGCUUUUGGAUUUCACUUUCCAAGCAAUUGUUACUGAUCAUCUUACUGAUUGAAAAGCUGCUUUUCAACUCACCAUGUGAAGUUGCCAACUUGAAGGCAUGUGUGGUUUGUCCAGUGAGUAUUGCUCUCAGCUCCAACCAGAAGAUCAAACCCUGCCAAUAUCAAGGCUGAAUACUAGUUCAGAAGUUUUGAAUCAAUGCAACAGAAGAUCACAAAGAAGGGAUGGAUCUAGUUCGGGUUCUCUGUGUCUUUGUCGAGUAACUUACGGAAGCUGAAUAAUAACAAGUGUCCGCAAUUUAAUAGUAGUAUGAUCGUGAGGCGCCACUUCUAGGCACACACUAGUGACUUGUACGGCCACAAGUUUCAUACAGGAUGCAUCUGGCAUGUUUCUCAGGAAGAUUAUUAUUCAUGCCUUCAUGAGAGGGUAGUUACCUUGGAUUUUCUGGUAAGCCUCUCUCCUUCAUAUUCAAUUUAAAGAUUACUUUAGAUAGACCAAUUUCUCAGGAGA